GUCUGCGCCGUGGCCGCCGCCGCCGCCGCUGCCUGUCGCCGAGCCUGGCAUCUCCGAGCCCCCGCGCGGGGGGCUGCCGCCCAGCGCUGAUUGACAGCCCGCCUCGCCAAUGCCUGGAGGGAGAAAGGAGGUGUCUUUGUGGGCACCGAGGGAUAUAAUGGUGAGACGUACCAGGGUCCAUUGAGGGAAUAAGGAGAAGAUAAUAAAUUAGUUGCCAACUUGCAAAUUUUUGAGAGCCGCAACUACUGAGAAAGGAUUUGUCUGACAGCAGAGAGAGUUUUCAAAUCAGCAGCUGUGUGAUCCUUUUAAAAUAGAAUUGUGCUUCUCUUGGGUGGGUGUGGUGAUAUAUGCCUAUGAUCCCAGCAUUUGGGAGGCAGAAGCAGGCAGACCUCUGUUAGUUCAAGGCCAAGCUAGUGUACAUCAUGAUAUCUGGGACAGUCAUAGGGCUACAUAGUAACACCCUGUAGAGACCGUGUCUUAAAACAAAACAAGACAAAACAAAAACAACCACACACACACACACACACACACACAAUCAGCUUCCAGUCUCCCCUUCAUUGUCUUUCCCCUCUGUGGUUACACUUUGCCUCUUAGAGCACAUUCCUCUCUCCACUGCAGCCUCACUGGUCUUUUUGAGCAGGUCAAAGGUAUUUUAGCUGGCAUGUUUUUCCCUGGAGUGUAUACACAGUUCUUUUCCAUAUCUCUUGUACGUUUUCCUGUGGUAUCCCUGUUUCAGUGAGGCCUUCACUAAGCUCCCUGCUUACAACUGUAACCCUGGCCCUUUCUUGUCACACACACACACACACACACACACACACACACACACACACACCUCCCUUCCUAUCUAGCACUGUCACUGUCUGUCAUACUAUGAAGUGCCAUUGUGGUGAGAUUAUAACUCCCUCACAGGAAGGGAGGUCUGCUGAGUCAGCAGGUAGACUAGUGCCUAGCACAUGACAGAGCCCCAGUGAACCUGCUGGGUGAGGAAUGGCUUGAAGAGCUGUGGAAGCAGCUGGAGGAAGUGCUAACAUUACCUAGACGGAGAGGGGAGAGGCAGCAGUCAUGCUAGAGGGACGAGAGAACACUUCAGUAUUUCAGUGUUUCAGGAAGCGCAUAUCCUAUUGCAGCCAGCUCCGAGCAGAGGAAAGGUUCAACCUUCGUUCUCUCUUCCAAAUGAAGUCUGUAAUAGUUUUCUUUUCUUUCUGUAAAGGAGGCUCUGUUGAGCCUGUUUGGAAAAGUGAUGUCCUUUUAAAGAAUAUAUAAAGGCAGUCAUUUU
ensembl:antisense Gm26756 predicted gene, 26756